GCCCUGGGGUGUUACAUGUGUGGGUGCAAACCACAAGAAGCAGAAUAGGUUUCUGCCGGGGCUU
rnacentral:tRNA from 1 species